CGCACCUUGCGCCCUUUGGUAUUCCGAAGGGCAUGCCUGUUUGAGUGUCAUUAAAUUCUCAACUUCAAAGGCUUUGUCUUUUGAAGCUUGGAUGUGAAGGCUGCUGGCGUUUUAAAUGUUCAGCUCCUUUGAAAUGCAUUAGUGGACCCAUUUGUGUUCAGCCUUAGUGUGAUAAUUAUCUACGCUAUGGUUUUUGAAUACUGGCUCAUUGGAUCUUCGAGGUGUUUUAUACAUUCUCGGUGUGGGGAGUUGCAUGAACUUGCUCUCUCUGUCUAUUGAGUUUGGCUUGUCUGCUUUCUAACUGUCUACUGUGUGGACAAUUUUGAACCAUUUGACCUCAAAUCAGGUAGGACUACCCGCUGAACUUAA
rnacentral:misc_RNA from 1 species